rnacentral:lncRNA from 1 species
GUUAGAUGGGAAAUUGAAUAUUAACUUGGCAUUCUCUGCUUCCAGGUAACUAAAACCUCAACUUGUAGGUAAGGAGGUAGAGUUCUGAUCUUCAGUCUGAACCAGUUUUCUAUUUAAUAUAUUGCAUUCUAUUCCCUACCGACAGCAACUUCCCAAGACUGACAACUAGGCAGAAGUUCAGAGAACAGCGGAGAAUGGGAAACAAGGCUGCCUGGAACUAUCUUAGGUGAACUUCUUGACGUCAUCAUACAAGAAAGCACAAAAUCAUCAUUUCUGAGGCCCUUGGGCCAUGAACUUUUGAUGCUUUGCUUCCUUCAUCAUGAACAAUCUUCCAAUAGAGGUCAAGCACGCCUGUGUACAUGACAUCAGUUCCUUUACAUCCUGACUGAGGUGGCCAACAGUGUCUAAUGGAUAAGAAGUCAACACAGCCAUGGCAGUGAUGUGCUGUGUGAUCAUCUAAUUGGUGAAGAUGUGAGUAUUCUUGCACUCUGAAAGCAUUUGCCUCACAGUAUCAUGUACACCAAAGCAGGCAGCCUGGUGGAAGAUAACUCCAAGCACAGAUACAUUAAAAGCUUGGCAUAGUUUGGCAUAGGCCUUUAAUCCCAUCAGAUUUGCAGAACUUAACCAGGCAAUCACUGAGGCCUGCAAAUUCCCUUUCACUUCUGGCUUUACCCAUGUCAGCUGCUAGACAGUCAUAGGCAAAACAAGAGGGUGCACAAAAAACAGGAUAU